GGGGCAUCACAGUUUCGCAGCAAUGCGGGAUGGGUGGCGACCGGCAAACGGGUGCGGAACACGUACACAACCUUCCGGUGAGAGGGGGAUAGCCCAGAGAAAUUUGGAUUAAUACCCCCUACUAUAGUGAUCAGGCAUCUGGUUAUUAUCAAAGGCUUCGGCCGCUUAUUGAUGGGUGUGCGUCUGAUUAGGUAGUUGGUGGGGUAGAGGCCCACCAAGCCUGCGAUCAGUAGCUGAUGUGAGAGCAUGAUCAGCCACACGGGCACUGAGACACGGGCCCGACUCCUACGGGAGGCAGCAGUAAGGAAUAUUGGACAAUGGACGCAAGUCUGGUCCAGCCAUGCCGCGUGAAGGAUGAAUGCCCUCUGGGUUGUAAACUUCUUUUAUAGGGGAAGAAAGUUAUCUUUUUUAGGAUAUUUGACGGUACCCUGUGAAUAAGCACCGGCUAACUCCGUGCCAGCAGCCGCGGUAAUACGGAGGGUGCAAGCGUUAUCCGGAUUCACUGGGUUUAAAGGGUGCGUAGGCGGGUAUGUAAGUCAGUGGUGAAAUACCGGAGCUUAACUUCGGAACUGCCAUUGAUACUAUAUAUCUUGAAUAUUGUGGAGGUAAGCGGAAUAUGUCAUGUAGCGGUGAAAUGCUUAGAGAUGACAUAGAACACCCGAUUGCGAAGGCAGCUUGCUACGCAAAUAU
rnacentral:rRNA from 1 species